AUCAUAGUCAAAAUCUGAGUUUGAUCCUGGCUCAGAAGGAACGCUAGCUAUAUGCUUAACACAUGCAAGUCGAACGUUGUUUUCGGGGAGCUGGGCAGAAGGAAAAGAGGCUCCUAGCUAAAGUUGUCUCGCCCUGCUUCAAAACUACAGGGCGCGCGCUACGGCUUUGACCUAACGGCCUCCGUCUGCUGGAAUCGGAAUAGUUGAGAACAAAGUGGCGAACG
rnacentral:rRNA from 1 species